UUUCAUGUAAUUUCUGCUUGCCUUAAGUCUGGAACACGUAUAUAAAUGCAUAAUUAAUGAACUGGCCUACCAUGUUGGGAAUUAUAACUCAAACCCAACCACUAAGGUCAAGUUCAUGAUCAUGUACUCUCCGUUCUAGAUUUGUCCUACCGUAAUUCACCUAGAACUACCAAUUCCAUGGAUAAAUUAAUGAAUUAACAAAAAACAAUAGUAAACUAAUUGUUAAUAGUCAAAACCGAGUACAUUAUAACUUAAGUCGCUCCCUUGCACCAGAAAAUAACCAAAAUUAGUCCUAAAAUCUCUCCUAAACUCCAUAAAUUAGCAAUCUAAAGCUUAAUUACCAGUAACUAGUUAACAGGGAAGAAAUUCUCACCUUAACAAAGCUAAAUGACGAAAAAUUGAUGGGAAUCACCUAAUAUCAUCCCCAUUUGGCUCCAAAAUGAGUUUUAGAAAAAUAAACUAUUUUGGAGGAAUAAUUAACUAAAUUUGUGACCUUUGAUGUUAUAGCGCUAUACAUCGCUAUUGUGGCAUCGCUAUUGCGGCGUUGCUUUAGCGGCACCUGCCGCUAUAACAGGCAAUGACCAAGUCUGACCGUUGCCAUAGAAGAAAUUUCUACACUAUAGCGACACUAACAAAUGUCUAGUUUUUCCUAAAAAUCCUAAUUUUUGCAACACAAUUUAAAUUCGAGACAUUUCAAAUAAUGUCUUUUACAAAAAGAUCAAUUUUGGAGUUUUAUUUACCCAUAUUCCAUUUUGUAAAUUUCUACGGGCUCGUUAUCAUCUUAGCUAACUAGAAGAAAAAUCAAUUACCACCAAACUUGCCCAAAUCAUAUUCGAAUUACACUAGAUCAUACCUUACUCUAAUUUCGAUCGAUGGUAGUCUAGCCUAAAAUUUAUAACAUCAAAUUCGAGUAGAAUUUUAAUAUAAAAUUUUCAACAUGAGGUUUAUACAUAACGACAAAAAUGGUUGUUACACUAGUUAUGACUUUCUUGGGAUGAUUUACGAUUUGGGCAUCUGUCAUUGUGAUAUGGUGAUUGUUGUUCUUCUUUUAUAGGUUAAUCAUCCCUGAUAGGAUAGGUUGUGUAUGUACGAUCUUAAGAUGGAAUCUUCGUUAUUCUGGAUUAUUGAGGAUUUUGGGUUGAUUGAUAUUACUUGAUUGUAGAGGACUGCAUGGGUUAUUUUGAUAAGUUACAUGAGGUUUUAGUGCUUUUUGAGUAUUCAUGUCUAUGGUAUAUGGAGUUUUAUGGUGAUUCUCGAUUACUUAUGAGGGAUGAGCAUAAGGAUUUGAUUAGAAGUGUCUUAAGUAUGAUAAGUGUGAAUUUUGAGGUUUUGUCUGAAUUUGAUGUUGACUUUUGAUUUAGUUUGGGGAUAUAGUAUUAUUUAUGAUGAUAGUAAUGGUAUCGGCCUUGAAAAGGGUUGAUUUAACAUAUUAGUGGAUGGUUAUAUGGUGUCAUAAGUUCCUUGGCGAUGUGAGGGUCCAAUGAUUAUUUUGGUUGUGUGGUAUAGUCAGUACCUUGUGUUGUAUUAGCUAGGUUUAGGUUAGACGGGUACAUUUAGAACUUUAGAACUUCAAGCAUGAUCCACUUAGUUUUUAUGUAUAAAGAAAGUUCAUUAAUAAAGGGUCUUAUUUUCUUUGAGAAAAUUUGGCCUUAGAUGCUAGUGUAGUGACCUGGUAUGUCAGUAUGUGAUAGAUUAUGGGUUUUAUGGUGAGACUAGUAGUUCUGUAGUUGUGACUUUUCAUUGGAGUGUUUUCUCGAUAUGUCCCAAGCGUAUCUCUAUCCUUUACCUGUUUUGACUUUUCUUGCUUGUACGCUCGAAGAUGAACGCAAAACUUAGUGGUGGAUAUUGUAAUGACUCUCCUAUUGAUUUUUAGAAUUUUAUGUGUUUUGACCAUUUUUUCAUUCCCCAUAGUUGUUUCAUGUUGAUUUUAGGGUGGGGGGAUAGUUGGCACGAUUACCAAUGUGAUUGAGAAUGAUUUGGGAGAGUUUAAAGCUUAAAAAUCCAUAUAGUUGACCUUGGUCAAUACUUGAUAUUUUGAGUGCCAGAUGGAGAUUUGAAAAGUUCCAUUAGAUCUUAAACAUCAAUUUUGGUUUAUUAGCAUAGUUAUUUUGGGUUUUGAACCCGUAUUUUACCUUAUGACCCUAUUUGGAAACUAGUUAAAAUGGCUUAUAAGGGGUUAAUUUAUUAUUGACGACUUUUUAUAGUAAAUCUAAUGAUUCCAUUUAAUCCAAAACAUGUUUUAAUCAAUUUUCACUAUUAUUUCAUGUUAAUAGGGGUUCCAAAUGAGUUCUGAGUGUCAAAAAUAAGUUUUAAAAUUGUUACUGCUAGUGUGGCCACUAAAAUGGUUGGUUGACCGCCAUAGUAGUUGUUGACUAUUUGACUGAUUGCUAAAGAGACCAAUCGACCGCUUUAGCGAUAGUUUGACCCUUUGAUCAAGCCACUUUAGAGGAUAAAAUGCCGCUUUUGCAACCAUCAUUAAGUUUAAGGCCAUACGAACCCAUUUCGAAUUUUUGACAUUUUGAAAGUUAGAAAGCUCCGAUUUUGAUGAUUCUCAAUGUGUUUUUCUUGUAUAAUCAUUUUAUGUAUUAUUAUAACUUAAGAUUUCUCAUUUUCUAAUAAUAAUUAUUUACUUUUUUCAGAUUUCUAACCAAAGUUGAAAUUCAAAAUCUCAUUCCAGCAUUUUCACUAUUCUUAAGGCUUGAGAGCUCGAAUUUGAGAGUUUUCAAAAGGAUUUUGAGAGUUCUUUCAUAGCUAUUUGUAUUUAUCAUUUUCCCUUGAAUUUCAUUACAAAUUCAUCUUCAAUUCUUUAAUUUUGAGAUUUCUAACCAAAGUUGAGAUUCAAAAUCUCAUUCCAGCAUUUUCACUAUUUUUAGGGCUUGAGAGCUCGAAUUUGAGAUUUUUCAAAAGGAUUUUGAGAGUUCUUUCGUGGCUAUUUGUAUUUAUCAUUUUCCCUUGAAUUUCAUUACAAAUUCAUCUUCAAUUCUUUAAUUUUAAAUUUGAUUUUAGGAUUUUUUUUUUUAUGGUAAAGCUUAAAAUUAUUUUUUUUCUUUAAUUUGGACAUCAUUUGCGUGGGUUUUCAGAUGUAGCUUCUUAAUUUUAUGGGUAAUAUGUUUUAAAAUAAAAUUUUGGUUUUAUCCCUAUCUUAUGAACUCAUUUUUCAAAUUCGUUUUGAACUCGUCUUAAAUAGGGUCAGAUAGGUAUCAUUAAAUUCCUUUUGACUUGUGGAUUACACAUAUGGUUAGAUUGGAUGCAUGAGAUGUUGAGUCAAUGGAGUUGGGCUUCCAUUUAAUGUUUUGGACUGUGCUUGGGCUUGCAAAUCUUCUUAAAGGCAAGUUGAGAUGCAUCUUGACUUUUUCCAAAGUGUUUGUAUGUUGUAGUAAUUGUUUGCUUGUAUGUUGUGAUUCAUUUAGGAUUGGGGUCCUUCUUAAAUUAAAUGGCGAGCAUCUCUACAGGUAUCAAGUCUUUGAUGGUUAGAAAGUUAACCUUAUGAUUCUCAAAUAAUUGAUAUUGAAUGUCUAUUUUAGAGCUUGAAUCAUGUUAGUGGACUUUAUAGUGAUGAUUGUGGUUUAGUGUCUUGUUAGGGGUAAUUUUGUUUUUAUCAUCAUUAUUGAUGGAAUGAUUGAGGUUUGAGAGUAUACAUAAAGUAUGAAUAGACUUGUAAUAGUUGAUUCUUGAUGAAUGGACCAAGUUAGGUAUGGGUAGUCCUUGAUUUAGUGUUGUUGGGAUUAAUGGUUAUUUUGUGUUGCCCUUGGGCUUAUGUGAACUUCAUUAUGGAUGUAAGUAAUUAUUUAUGAUUGUGUGUUCGAUUGGGGGCUUAUAUGCAUAUUUCUUUGGUGUCCGACUGAUGACUACAUGAAUAUUUAUUCUGAUGGUGCCAAGUGGAAAUUGAUAUCAUGAAUUAUUGAAACAUUAGGUUGAUUUUGAGAUUACUUAUACAAUUAUUGAAUGGACUUUUAUCUUUAUACUAAUUGAUUGUGAGCAUUACAUCCUCAUAUCAUACAUGCAUAUUCAUGAGACAUUGGUACCACUGAGAUAUUCUGAUUUUUGUAUGAAAAUAAGACACUUUAUAAAACGCCUAUACCGAGAGAUGUGAUGAUACGGAUGAUUUUAGACAUGAGUUGAGAUUAUAUAAGUAUAUGAGUUUUGAAUCCCCCCAUGGGUCCUACCUGAACCUGCAAGCUCGAUGGGUGUAUAUGAAAAGAUAUGCGAUAAUUUUCAAACAUUCACCAUCAUCACUCUAUUGCAUUGCAUCAUUUGUGUUGCAUUACCUUGGUUUGGGUUGAUAUUGUAUUAGUAUUUACUUUUUUAUUGUAUUGUCUCAUAGAACCUUGUUUGUGAUAUUGUGUUUGAGAAUUCAUUUCAUUACAUUACCUUACAUCCUCCUAUAUUAACUGAGGGAGUGAGGUACUAUGAGAUGUGGGAUAUGGCUAUGGCUUGGUCAGGAGAGAUACUUGUGUACUACCCCUUGGUAGCAUGAUAUAUACUCUCAUAUAUGCACACUCACCUUGUUAGAAUCCUCUAUUAUUGGUUUCCUAUAAUUAGUUAAGCUUGAUAUAUCAUACUAAUGAGUCUUCUUCAUAAUUGACUCCUUAUAAAUGUUUUUAUAUUCUUGUUUGUCAUAAAAUGCCUAGUGUUGACUCACCUAGAUCAAUGUGUCAACAAUGUCUUUGAUUCAUCUAUUAACUAUUGUGUUGGGUUACUCAGAUUAGGAUAAAGAGAUAUAUAUAUACUGGAUUUUAGAUUGUUGGAAAGCCUUGGGUAGUUAGGGCGGUGAUUCUCGCCCUCACUUUGGAUUAGGGUCGAUUAUCGAUGAUGCUUGUCGAGUACAUGUGAUUUUGUACUCACCCUUGAUUCUCUUUCUUUUUUCUUAUUUUCUGCACCCCGUGCACGUAUUGGACCGUAUCGGAGCUUGUAGAUUGUUUUUCUUCCAACAUUGAUAUUGUGGAGAUCGAGGUAGUGCUAACGGACUUCAAGUGUACCUAGAUCUCUCUUUAUUUUUCAUAUGCUUACUCGCAUUUAAGAUACUUUAGCUAUUGUUCGUUGUUGGUAACAAAUGUGAAUUUUAUUACAAGUAAACCAACGUUAAGAGUACAAAAAAUAGCCCCUUAGUCGGCUAGUUGCCUACUACUAGCAAGCCUAAGCCUCAAAACAAACAAAUCUAAACAAAAACACUUACGUAGAACCUAAAAACAUGUCAAUUCUAACUAGGAACUCUCUCCGGUUCAGUUUUAUAACUUCACCAGGCUUGAGCCUCAAUCCCUUAAACAUCUUCUAGUUCCUAGCUCUCCAUGUAUGAUAAUACACUGCCCCUCUCCCCCUCCAAAUAGCUGUAACAAUCUCUUUCACAAACAGGUUACAUUUUCUCCCUUUAAUUGAAAGAAAAAUUGUUCUGAUAGAUCCAGAUUGAACAUUGAUUCCUGACCAUUACUCCACUUCCUUCUUCACCUCCUUAAUCCAGUACAGUGACAAAAAUAAGUGGUUUGCAGUUUCUUACAUUUGCUUAUCACACAAACAUCAGCACUUAUCAUCUACUAGAACAUUCAUCUGAAGCAUUAUGCCCUUUGUUAGCAGCCUAUUUUGUGCAGCCAACCAACUAUAACUCUAUGUUCAGGCUGUGCCAUUAAAGUCUAUACAAGUUGAGCAAUGCUCAAGCUUCUCUAUACUACAAUCAACUCUAUAUAACUCCUAGUUAUAAAGUAAUUACCCUUAGUGGUCAGCUUAUACUUAUUAUCAGUACACCAGAUCUUUAUUUUAUCUUUCAAGGAGUUAAAGUUUUCUCUAAUUCCAGCUGCAAUCUUAUGGUGCUUUAUAGGUUUAUAUAUCUGCAUGAUCCUUCAUUUAUAACUCAUGGAUCCACUUCACCCAGAACGAUUCCUUAUUGUUAAACAUCUAUUACACUAGCUUACCUACUGAAGCUAUAUUCCAUAUCCUGCAGUUCUUAACAUUUAAACCUCCUGCUUUUUUAGGAUUACACACCACCUCUCAUGAGACUAGUGGGACUUUCCUUUUCACCUUUGUUGAACCAUAUAGGUUUUCUACAUUUACUAUCCAGUUCUUUAAGCACACAAUGAGGAACAAUGAACACAACCCCCAAGAAGUUGUAAAUGGCAAAGGACACAACAUUAAUCACUUGAAUUCUCCCUGCAUAUGACAACUGUUUGGAGUAAGUCAUUGUGAUUCUAUACGUAUCUUGUCUACCAACUGCUGACACUCAAAUCUUGCUCCAUUUCUUGGAUGAAAAAGGCAAGCCAAGAUACCUUAUAGGGAAACACCCUAAUGUAAAACCUGUUCUAGUAAGCAAUUGGUUCUUGCUCCAUCAGUAACCCCUGCCAAAAAGAAACUGGAUUUGCUCAUAUUGGCCUUCAAUCCUGUAACAACAUUGAAAUAUGUCAAGACUUUUAUUACUCUAUUCACAGAGGUAACUAUACCAUUACAGAAGACCAUCAAGUCAUCAGCAAAAGCUAAAUGAGUCAGUUCUAGUGAUUUAUACAUAGAGUGGAACUUGAAAUCAGGCAAGUAGCUCAAAGUUUUCAAGGUUCUUGAGAGGUUUUCCAUAACUAACACAAAUAAGAGGUGAGGCAGGAUCACCUUGCCCCAAUCCUCUUCUACCUUUAAAAUAUCCAUGUUUAACCAUUCACCUUCACAAAGAAUUUAGUAGAGGUAACAUACACCAUAAUUAACUUCACAAACUGAGUUGGAAAUCAAAAUCCAAGCAUAUCUUCCUCCAGGAAAUCCCAGUCCACUAUACCAUGGCCUUCUUUUGAUCUAUCUUCAUUAAAAAUCUCGCAGAAUUUUUCCUUGUAUAGUACCUCAAAAUGUCAUGAUAGAUUAAAACAUUGUGAACCAUUGAUCUUCCUAAAAAAUGAAAUCUGAUUUACAACAACUAAGUGAUUCACAACAGCCUUUAUCUAGUACAAAGUAGUUAAUACACACAUUUAUAGAUGAGAUUAAAGCAAGAAAUUGGCCUAUAUUGACUUGCGAAUUUGGGUCUAUCCACUUUAGAGAUUAGAGCAAUGACUUAGAAUUUAUUUACCUUAACAACUUCCCAUUAUGUAAGAACUCUAACACUACCUUAGUGAUAUUUGGUCCACAAUAGGCCAAGCCAUCCUUAUAGAAACCACUCCCACAACCAUCAGGUCCUGGGCUCCUAUUCCUAUCAAUACUGAAAAUAGCCUGCUUGACAUCCUUCUCAGUAAAUGGUUGCACCAACUGAAUCUACUGUGCUUUAGUAAGCAAACUCCAUUGUGCAGAAUGAUCCUAUUAGCCUUGCAUCAAUUACACAUGCUACCACCUAACAAAUCAGUAUAGUAAUGCACAAAAGCAUUACUUAUUGCAGUGGGAUCAUAUUGUCAAACUCCGCGAUCAUUGUUAAUUUGUGUAGUAGCUUGUUUCAACCUUCAAUGUCUUAUAACAACGUGAAAAUAUUUGGUGUCAUCAUCACCUAGUUUCAACCAAGUAACCUUGCUUUUUUGCUUCAGAUAUACUUCUGUCGGGUAUGAAGAUAUCUAACAUUAUUUGUAUUAUUUAUUCCUCCUGUUGAUAAUCAGGCCUUGAUGAUAUCAAUCUGUAGAAUUGUUUGAGCAGGCUGAAGUGCCUCUUAUACUCCUAGGCUUCAUUCCCAAUGUUCUUGAAAUGUUGUGUAUUUAACUUCCGCAGUGAUCUCUUAAGUAACUUCAGUCUUUUCACCACUUGUAGGAUAUGACAACCUUAUAAUUUAACCUUCCAUCCAGCUUCAACUAGAUUUAAAAACUUUAGAUGAUGAGCCAAUACAUUACAGUAUGUAAACUAUUUUUUCAAUCUUGAACCACCUCCUCCUAAGGUAAUUUUUAGCAGCACAAUAGUCAUUAAUCCCUUCUGGCAAGUAUCUUGCUUUAGUAUCAUGCAUAAUAUCCAACCAAUUAUGAUUUAUAAACAUCCAAUUAAUUUUAGAGAAUACUCUUUGUGCUUUACCUUUAUCGUGCCAUGUAAAAGAACCACCUACAUGGGGCAGCUCAAUCAAUUCGCACUCCUUAAUACAGUGAUGGAAGUCCAUAACCUCUGCCCAUGUUACUGGAUUCGCACCUAUCUUGUUGUCUACUUUCAGCACAUAGUUAAAGCCACCUACUACCAACCAAGGCAUACUACAACUUGCAUGCAGACAAGCUAAAUCACCCUAAAAUAACUUCCUCUCUUAUUUUGUGCUAUAAGAAUAGAUAAAGGUUACCAAAUAAGACAGAUGUAAGGGUUGAUAAACUACCUCACAAAUGAUCAUUUGAGCUAAUAUUUUGACUAGAACUAUUGUGAAGUAAUCAAAUCUCCAAAUAACCAAGGCUCUCCCAUUAAUGACAUCAGAGAUUGGUAAGACCACCCUCCAAACAUUGCAGCUAGUAUCUGAUCCACAUUACAUGCCUUGAUCUUUGUUUCAUGAAAACCUGCCAAGCCUAUUUGUUCUGCAUUGCAGAGGAUCUUGGAUCCCCUCUACUUAUUAGGGGCAAUUAAGCCCCUCAGAUUCUAGCACAUUAUUCUAGCCAUCCUCACUAUGAGGAUGAUUUCUACUCCCCAUAUUAUCCACCAUUCCUACUUGUAAAUCGGAGUUGGUCAAGGCCUAAAAAGCAUUAUCCUGAACCAGUUGAUGAGUCUUUGGAAUUUGUCCCUUUCCACUCCUCUUUAGAGUAAUCCAAUGAGAAUGGGAUACCUAUUGAUUACUCUAGGUAAUAUCAUGCUACUGCUAUACUAAUUUUCCUUGAGAAGUCCCUUUCCCUCCUCUUGUCCUACUAACAGAUUCAACACCAACCUUCUUCUCAUUCUGCAGUACUUGAGUGAUCAUUUCUUCUGCUGGUUGCUCCUCCUUGUUCUCAGCCUGGUUCUUAGGUGUUUAGAGUCUUUCAUCCUUAUACACACUUGUUCUACAUGCCCAUAUUUCUUGCAAUAGGUGCACAAGUUAGGUUCCUUUUAUAGUUUUAAAAACACUCUCUCUGGUAGGUCAUCUCCUAUCUCAACUUCCACCAAUAAUCUAGCAUAUUGCAGACCAGACAUCUAUUUAGUGUUUUGAUCUACCAUAAUAGGCCUGCCAAUUAGACUUCUAAUUUUACUAAGUCUUUUGGACUCCAAUAUUAGAAAUCUAGACCAGGAAAUCCAAUCUAAAUAGGCAUUAUGUUCAUCAACUCAUAUCUUGUAAACUCCAUCUCUAGAAUCCAAGCCUUACCAUAAGGGGUCUAUUACCAAAACAAUAAAUUCCACCUUCAAUCACCUUAUCAUUUCCUACAACUAAGUCAAACCUAACCGGUAGGACUCCGCUUCAACAUCACCACUUCGCUUAUACCAAAUUUACCCCACAUUCUCUGAAUAUAGCCAUUGAUAACAGCAAAUGGGGAUGUGCUUCAAGUACAAAACAUACUAUUGCAUUUCUCCAGUAUUCAAUUUCAGACUCAAUAACCUCCAAUUCUCUCUCUACAACACUAUUCUUCCCAUAUUUAACAGGAGAUACAUACUACAAUUUAAAGUCUGCAUUAGACAUCUUAGUAAUAUCAAAAUUAUCCCAAAUUGACUAUCUAUUGGGCAUGUUCCUCAUCACUAGGUCAGCCCCAGGCUUUGGAGCACUCAUACCUGAAUUCGCUUGAGAUUUAACCUCUGAAUUAUGGAUUACCUCAAUCUAGACCUGAGCAUCCUGUGUUUUCUGCAUUGUCCACCUAUCCUGUAACUUUGUUACGGUUCCAUUAGUGUGAAAUUACCUCAAAUUCAUGACUGCAUCAGCUGCCUUAGAUGCACUACUAAAUCGAUCCUCAUCAGUCAACAUCUCUAUUGAUCGCAUAUCCGAAAGCCCCGGAGCAUAAAUUCUUAUAACUUUAAGCGAGACAUUUUGUACUAAUACUUCAAAUUAAGCUUCCUUCACUGCCGAUUUAGCAGGUAACUGCUAUUUUGGUCGACGUCGAGCUUGCAACAACCUAGUUUCCAUCAUUUGUAUAGAUUUUUGCUAUGGCAUGCGAGCUCUCCUCCCCAUGGUAGGCGCAUGUUUGUUAACAUGCACUCAGAGCAAAGCAGCCUCUAGAAACUUAGAAAAUUAAAGUUUUUAAAUAAAAAUUAUGACAACUUUAACCUAAGAUUAAAGCUUCAUUUAAAAGGUUAAAGUUUUAUUUAAAUUAUAAUUAAGGUAAUUGGAGUGUAAAGUAUAAUUUUUUAAAAAAUCUUCUAACUCAAAAUUUUAAAUUUUAAAUUUUAAAAUUUUCUCCCUUUUCUUAUAUUUCAAUCUUUC
rnacentral:lncRNA from 1 species